GACGAACGCUGGCGGCGUGCCUAACACAUGCAAGUCAACUUGACUGAAGGAGCAAUCUGACAGUAGAGUGGCGCAAGGGUGCGUAACGCGUAAGUAACUUGCCCAAGGUAAGGAAUAACGUCGAGAAAUCGGCGCUAAUACCUCAUAAUGCAGCGGAUCCGCAUGGAUAUGUUGUUAAAGGUUUACCGCCUUGGGAUAGGCUUGCGUCUGAUUAGCUAGUUGGUGUGGUAACGGCACACCAAGGCUACGAUCAGUAACUGGUCUGAGAGGAUGAUCAGUCACACUGGAACUGAGACACGGUCCAGACUCCUACGGGAGGCAGCAGUGAGGAAUAUUGGGCAAUGCUCGGAAAGAGUGACCCAGCAACGCCGCGUGGAGG
rnacentral:rRNA from 1 species